rnacentral:rRNA from 1 species
UAGCUCACUGGUCGAGUCGGCCUGCGCGGAAGAUGUAACGGGGCUAAACCAUGCACCGAAGCUGCGGCAGCGACGCUGAUGCGUUGUUGGGUAGGGGAGCGUUCUGUAAGCCUGUGAAGGUGUACUGUGAGGUAUGCUGGAGGUAUCAGAAGUGCGAAUGCUGACAUAAGUAACGAUAAAGCGGGUGAAAAGCCCGCUCGCCGGAAGACC